GUCCACGCCGUAACGAUGGAUACUAGCUGUUGGGCAACUUCAGUGGCUAAGCGAAGUGAUAAGUAUCCCACCUGGGAGUACGUUCGCAAGAAUGAACUCAAAGGAAUUGACGGGCCCGCACAAGCGGUGGAGCAUGUGGUUAAUUCGAUGAUACGCGAGGAACCUUACCAAGGCUUAAAUGUAGAUUGACAGGACUGGAAACAGUUUUCUUCGGACAAUUUACAAGGUGCUGCAUGGUUGUCGU
rnacentral:rRNA from 1 species